rnacentral:tRNA from 1 species
CAUCUUUAAGAAAUCAUGAGCCCAUACCAUGUGUAUGUUAGGAAGUAAUUAACUCCCUUAAAACCA